ACCCCAGUCAGCUGUCAGACCAGUCCUGGUCCCAAAUCCUUUUCCCUUGCAGACAAUGUGGAAAAGGUCAAACCUCCCACGGUCACAGUGUUUGAACCAUCGGAAGCAGAGACCUCCCGAACCCAGAAGGCCACACUCGUGUGCCUGGCCACCGGCUUCUACCCCGACCACGUGGAGCUGAGCUGGUGGGUGAAUGGGAAGGAGGUCCAGAAUGGGGUCAGCACGGACCCUCAGCCCUACAGGGAGCGGCUGGAUGAGAAUGACUCCAGCUACUGUCUGAGCAGCCGGCUGAGGGUGUCCUCUACCUUCUGGCACAACCCUCAUAACCACUUUCGCUGCCAAGUCCAGUUCCACGGGCUCGGGGACGAUGACGAGUGGCCCAACGACAAACGGACCAAACCCGUCACCCAGAUCGUCAGUGCCGAGGCCUGGGGCAGAGCAGACUGUGGCUUCACUUCGGUGUCCUAUCAGCAGGGCAUCCUGUCUGCCACCAUCCUCUAUGAGAUCCUGCUGGGGAAGGCCACCCUGUAUGCUGUGCUGGUCAGUGCCCUGGUGCUAAUGGCCAAGGUCAAGAGAAAGGGUUCCUGAAACUACCUCAGAGGCAGAGGCGGGAGCUUCCAGCUUGCUAUUCCCCAAUACAGAUUCUCCUUUUUCUACUUCUAGCCAGUGCUUCUCAAGAGCUGUUUUCAUCUCUCCGCUCACCCCAAUAGUUACCCACUAUGUUCCUGAACACCUGGAUGCUGAUGACCCAAACCUCCCUAACCCAGG